UGCAGCUGUGUCAAAUUCAUUCCCUACCUUUUCGUGGUGGGCAUUGGUCCAAACAGCUGCCAAAGUAAUACCUGUAGUUCAUGGGCCUCGGAAUUCCUUGUGGAUUCUGGGGAUAGUUUUUCUGCAGACACCU
ensembl:snoRNA